rnacentral:rRNA from 1 species
GGGUGAGUAAUGUCUGGGAAACUGCCUGAUGGAGGGGGAUAACUACUGGAAACGGUAGCUAAUACCGCAUAACGUCGCAAGACCAAAGAGGGGGACCUUCGGGCCUCUUGCCAUCGGAUGUGCCCAGAUGGGAUUAGCUAGUAGUGGGGUAACGGCUCACCUAGGCGACGAUCCCUAGCUGGUCUGAGAGGAUGACCAGCCACACUGGAACUGAGACACGGUCCAG